rnacentral:rRNA from 1 species
GACGAACGCUGGCGGCGUGCUUAACACAUGCAAGUCGAACGGAAAGGCCCUGCUUUUGUGGGGUGCUCGAGUGGCGAACGGGUGAGUAACACGUGAGUAACCUGCCCUUGACUUUGGGAUAACUUCAGGAAACUGGGGCUAAUACCGGAUAGGAGCUCCUGCUGCAUGGUGGGGGUUGGAAAGUUUCGGCGGUUGGGGAUGGACUCGCGGCUUAUCAGCUUGUUGGUGGGGUAGUGGCUUACCAAGGCUUUGACGGGUAGCCGGCCUGAGAGGGUGACCGGCCACAUUGGGACCGAGAUACGGCCCAGACUCCUACGGGAGGCAGCAGUGGGGAAUAUUGCACAAUGGGCGGAAGCCUGAUGCAGCAAAGCCGCGUGCGGGAUGACGGCCUUCGGGUUGUAAACCGCUUUCGCCUGUGACGAAGCGUGAGUGACGGUAAUGGGUAAAGAAGCACCGGCUAACUACGUG